AUGCAAGUCGAGCGGAUUUACUGGAGUGCUUGCACUCCAGUAGGUUAGCGGCGGACGGGUGAGUAACACGUAGGCAACCUACCCUCUAGACUGGGAUAACUACCGGAAACGGUAGCUAAUACCGGAUAAUUCCCUGACCCUCCUGGGCUAGGGAUGAAAGGCGGAGCAAUCUGCUGCUAGAGGAUGGGCCUGCGGCGCAUUAGCUAGUUGGUGGGGUAACGGCCUACCAAGGCGACGAUGCGUAGCCGACCUGAGAGGGUGAACGGCCACACUGGGACUGAGACACGGCCCAGACUCCUACGGGAGGCAGCAGUAGGGAAUCUUCCGCAAUGGGCGAAAGCCUGACGGAGCAACGCCGCGUGAGUGAUGAAGGUUUUCGGAUCGUAAAGCUCUGUUGCCAGGGAAGAACGUCCGGUAGAGUAACUGCUGCCGGAGUGACGUACCU
rnacentral:rRNA from 1 species